rnacentral:rRNA from 1 species
AGAGUUUGAUCAUGGCUCAGGAUGAACGCUGGCGGCGUGCUUAACACAUGCAAGUCGAACGAACCUUCGGGUUAGUGGCGGACGGGUGAGUAACGCGUGAGAAUCUGCCCUCAGGAGGGGGAUAACGGUUGGAAACGACCGCUAAUACCCCAUAUGCCUACUGGUGAAAUGAAUUUCGCCUGAGGAUGAGCUCGCGUCUGAUUAGCUAGUUGGUGAGGUAAUGGCUCACCAGGGCUUCGAUCAGUAGCUGGUCUGAGAGGAUGAUCAGCCACACUGGGACUGAGACACGGCCCAGACUCCUACGGGAGGCAGCAGUGGGGAAUUUUCCGCAAUGGGCGAAAGCCUGACGGAGCAACGCCGCGUGAGGGACGAAGGCCUCUGGGCUGUAAACCUCUUUUCUCAAGGAAGAAGAUAUGACGGUACUUGAGGAAUAAGCCACGGCUAAUUCCGUGCCAGCCGCCGCGGU